AGCCUGAUGCAGCGACGCCGCGUGAGGGAUGACGGCCUUCGGGUUGUAAACCUCUUUCAGCAGGGAAGAAGCGAAAGUGACGGUACCUGCAGAAGAAGCGCCGGCUAACUACGUGCCAGCAGCCGCGGUAAUACGUAGGGCGCAAGCGUUGUCCGGAAUUAUUGGGCGUAAAGAGCUCGUAGGCGGCUUGUCACGUCGGGUGUGAAAGCCCGGGGCUUAACCCCGGGUCUGCAUUCGAUACGGGCUAGCUAGAGUUCGGUAGGGGAGAUCGGAAUUCCUGGUGUAGCGGUGAAAUGCGCAGAUAUCAGGAGGAACACCGGUGGCGAAGGCGGAUCUCUGGGCCGAUACUGACGCUGAGGAGCGAAAGCGUGGGGAGCGAACAGGAUUAGAUACCCUGGUAGUCCACGCCGUAAACUGUGGGCACUAGGUGUGGGCAACAUUCCACGUUGUCCGUGCCGCAGCUAACGCAUUAAGUGCCCCGCCUGGGGAGUACGGCCGCAAGGCUAAAACUCAAAUGAAUUGACGG
rnacentral:rRNA from 1 species